UUCACCAGAGGAAACACCACUGCACAAAAUGCUUUUCCUCCCAGCUGCUGCUCUGUGCUGUCUGUGUUCAGCGCUGGUUGCCAUGGCAGCAGAGCUGAGUCAGGAUCAUUUAACAUUGACCAGGAGAGUUGGUCAAACCGUCUCCUUCAGCUGUGGAGGAACUGACCAGUGUGACGAUGAUGAUGUAUUCUGGUACCAGAAGAAAGACACAGAAACAUUCAGAGUGAUUCUUUAUAUUGAUAAGAGUAAUGGUCGAGUUGAAUCAGGUUACAAUCAUCCUCAGAAAGAUGAUUUCUCAGCUGUGAAUAAAAAGAACGGCUGUGAGUUGCAGAUCCAGACAGUUAAACUCAGUCAUUCAGCCACCUACUACUGCGCCUGUUAUAAGUCUGAUCCCCACA